rnacentral:rRNA from 1 species
CCUACGGGAGGCAGCAGUGAGGAAUAUUGGUCAAUGGACGCAAGUCUGAACCAGCCAUGCCGCGUGCAGGAUGACGGCUCUAUGAGUUGUAAACUGCUUUUGUACGAGGGUAAACCCCGAUACGUGUACCUUGUUGAAUGUAUCUUACGAAUAAGGAUCGGCUAACUCCGUGCCAGCAGCCGCGGUAAUACGGAGGAUCCGAGCGUUAUCCGGAUUUAUUGGGUUUAAAGGGUGCGUAGGCGGGUUGUUAAGUUAGAGGUGAAAUGUCGGGGCUCAACCCCGAAAAUGCCUUUAAUACUGUUGGACUAGAGAAUAGUUGCGGUAGGCGGAAUGUAUGGUGUAGCGGUGAAAUGCUUAGAGAUCAUACAGAACACCGAUUGCGAAGGCAGCUUACUAAACUAUAUCUGACGUUGAUGCACGAAAGCGUGGGUAGCAAACAGGAUUAGAUACCCUAGUAGUC